CCACUGCAGCACCCUAUCUUUACCACAGCAACCAGAUCACAGAAGAAAAAUAUCAUCAUCUGGGACUACAGGAUUAUCUUUUGCAAAUUCAGGAGGGAUUUCUCUCAUCUUUGGUCUUUUGGUCAUCCUUCCACUGACCUUCCCUGCAGAGGGGAGCCUCAUCAGCGUCACCAAUGGAGGACGCUGGGGCAGAUGGGGUGGCAUGACAAAAUGCCCCUGUGGCCAUCGUGCUAUUGGCUUCUGUCUUAAGGUGGAAAGGGCACAGGGAGGCGGAGAUGACACGGCACUUAAUUCAAUCGGACUUCUUUGCAAACACACACGAACUCGUUCAAUAUUACCAUAUGGACGAUGGGGGCGGUGGACUCCAGCAAAGGUGUGCCGCAAUUAUGGAUACCUUACAUCAUUCAGACUCCGCGUGGAGCGUCCUCAGGGUGGUGGAGAUGACACGGCUGCCAACAACAUCAUGUUCCGGUGCAACACUGGAGAGGUUCUGACGGGUGCUGGCAUGCACUGGGGCACAUGGAGUGGAUGGAGUGGCCAGUGAUCUGGGGGAAGGGGAAUCUGCGGUGUUCAGAUGAAAGUCGAACGAGCACAGGGCUGGGGAGACGACACUGCCCUGAAUGAUGUCAGAUUCCAGUGCUGUCAGUGAAGUCAGCUUCAUUACGCAGUGCGUGCAUAGUGGCCUAACUGAGCAGUUAUCAGUAGCUUUCUGCUUUGUUGAUCUAUAGGCUCCAUCUUUUAAUUGCAUGCAGCUCUAAAUGCUGUUGAGAAUCAUUUCACCCGUUCAGCUCAACUUCUAUCAAUAAAUUCUGAAGCAUUA